GGGCGACCCGGCCGCCUCAGCGCCGGGCCCCGGCGGACCACACAACCCAACCCUGCAUCUCUGCGUCGGAGUGAACAAGCGAAAUCAAUCAAAACUUUCAACAACGGAUCUCUUGGUUCUGGCAUCGAUGAAGAACGCAGCGAAAUGCGAUAAGUAAUGUGAAUUGCAGAAUUCAGUGAAUCAUCGAAUCUUUGAACGCACAUUGCGCCCCCUGGCAUUCCGGGGGGCAUGCCUGUUCGAGCGUCAUUACACCACUCAAGCCUGGCUUGGCGUUGGGCGACGGGGCCCCGGCCCCGCGCCUCAAAUUCACCGGCUGGACGGACCGUACCUCAGCGUUGUGGCACACAAGCUCGCUGCGGGGCGGCCCGGCCGCGCCGUCAAAACACCCACUCAAGGUUGACCUCGGAUCAGGUAGGGAUACCCGCUGAACUUAA
rnacentral:rRNA from 1 species